rnacentral:rRNA from 1 species
UGGGGAAUAUUGGACAAUGGGCGCAAGCCUGAUCCAGCCAUGCCGCGUGAGUGAUGAAGGCCCUAGGGUUGUAAAGCUCUUUCACCGGUGAAGAUAAUGACGGUAACCGGAGAAGAAGCCCCGGCUAACUUCGUGCCAGCAGCCGCGGUAAUACGAAGGGGGCUAGCGUUGUUCGGAAUUACUGGGCGUAAAGCGCACGUAGGCGGAUUGUUAAGUGAGGGGUGAAAUCCCAGGGCUCAACCCUGGAACUGCCUUUCAUACUGGCAAUCUAGAGUCCAGAAGAGGUGAGUGGAAUUCCGAGUGUAGAGGUGAAAUUCGUAGAUAUUCGGAGGAACACCAGUGGCGAAGGCGGCUCACUGGUCUGGAACUGACGCUGAGGUGCGAAAGCGUGGGGAGCAAACAGG